AUCGCUUCUCGGCCUUUUGGCUAAGNNCAAAGUGUAGUAUCUGUUCUUAUCAGCUUAAUAUCUGAUACGCCCCCUAUCCGGGGGCUACAUAUUAAAUUGAUUUUUAGAACUGGGAGCCGGAAAAGGGGCUUGCUCCGUCCGCUCCACGCAUCGCCUCGGUAUUGCAGUACCUCCGAGAAUGGUGCACACU
rnacentral:snRNA from 1 species